rnacentral:tRNA from 1 species
GGAGUGGUGGCCGAGUCGGCUGAAGGCACCGCUUUGCUAAAGCGGCGUAGCUCUUAUACGGCUACCGAGGGUUCGAAUCCCUCCCACUCCG